AUCUUGGAAUGAGGUUGAUGCUGCCAGCCUCGGAGAAAAUGAACUGGUGAUCUUUUCAGAUUGUCCGUUGCUAGCUUUGGGAGUUCAAAUCCCACAAAACAAGUGGUCUGUGUGUCUUAGUUACUUUCCUCUUACUGCAACUAAACACCCAACCGAAGCAGCCAAGGAAGAGUGAUUUUGGCUCAGAGUUUUUAGGACCCCCAGCCCAUGGAAUGGUGUCACCCACAUUUAGGAGGCUGUCCAAGAAGGCACAUGUUACAAAAGCAAUGCACCUGCUCCAGGAACAGGAAGGGACAAGGAUCCCCUCCAUGGAUGAUCUAAUGGCAGAGGGGACAAAAGGCAUCACUCGAGGACCCCUCCCCCCACUCCGUGUUCACUGUGUAUCCCAGGAAGUUCUAGCUUUGUCAAGGACUCUCUUAAAGGAACACAUACUUGGGAACACACAUUAAGCAAAAGUGAAUGUGUGAAUGUUUGGUUGGAACUGUAUCCACAUCAGCCAUGAUUUCAGUUAUUACAAGGGAUCAGCAGCCAAGGUGAAUAGAGCCCACUGGGUAGGAAUCCUGGUUCUAUCAGAACUCUGCUUGAACUUUUAACUAGAAAUAACAGGCCCACAGCAAACCUUCUGCAACCAAGCUUCCUCGUGUGGCAAAGGCCAAGCAUCCCCCCCCCCCAGCAGCCUGUCUUCCUGCUCUCCUUUUAACAGGCUUGCUGCGAAUAUUGACUGUUCCCCUUGCCAUUCCCUCAUCAGUGACCAGUCUUAUCUUCCCACCCUGAGAACAUAACCAUUAGAACUCAUUUCUUGAGAGUGCAUUUCACUGAAGGAACAUUGGAAAGAUCUGAUGAAAUGCCAUGUUGAUUGUUAUUAAAUUGUGAAUUGUGAA